UGAACCCUGCCUUCACCCAUUGACAGCUGAGAUCGGCUCCAGCACCCCGCGACCCUUAACUGGAUAAGCAGGUUACGGAAAAUGGAUGGAUGGAUGGAUGAAUUGAAUGUCGGGUGGUUGAUAUAAUUCCAGUCACAUUAGUUCUCAUUUUCUUCUUUUGUUCGCUUGUUGUUGUCAGGUGGUUUGUCUAGUCGGAACAGACUCAGCCUAGUUGUUGUUUUCUGCGUCUUCCUCACGAUCAUGGGAGUUGGAGUCGCAACAUAUUUAACCAAGAAGUGCCAGGAAAAGCAAUUCCUCCAGCUUUUCAAGGAACCUACUGUCGAGGUGCUUUGAUCAAUGGAGCUUUGGUAGACGCUUACAGAGAGUAGAGCACGGCCCACUUAUCACACCUUGGCGUUUCAAAUUGGUUUGAGGAUUCCAACCAGCAACCCCUCCAGCCACAUGCGGAAACAAUGGAUCUGCAGGAGACAGGCCGACCACCACCAGAGCGUUAGAGCAUCUGCUGUGUCCGGACUGAAACCGCAUGGUGAUACUUCUUACCGACAACUGAAACAUCUCCUGCUCAAGAACAGUAGAUUUAGUAUGAUGUUUUUCUUCAGAACUGAUGGAAACUGAGUGUUCUUGUCCCAGAUGCUCUACAUCAGUUUCUGUCGAAACCUGUCCAUACUUCAGCGGGUACAUCUGCAUAAACUGCACGGUGGUUGAGUUUCUCGGUUUCUCCAACGAUCCCAUGGGUGAUGAGUUUAUGUUCCAGUUCUUGAACUGGGUUUCAUGAUGUUCGUGUAAGGAGAACAUAUAUCUAUAUUUAGAUAUAUUUUUUUAGACUUUCACAUAUUCAGUGACAAGGGAGCAGUGUGUAGGUUUGGUGUUAACAUGAGUAAAGACAUAUCCACAUCUACACCUAUACUUUGUAAUCAAAUGAGCAGAUAUAUUCUCUACCCACAACACCAACUCACACAGGUUAGAGGAAAAUGUGAAGGCAUAAAAACAAUGUAGAACUUGUUGUAUAUGAUGGUAAGUUCAAAGGCAGCUCCUAUAUCUGAUAUUUGUCAGGUCUACUUCAUGUCAUAUUCAUAUUCACGUAAGACUAUGUGCAUGCAUAUUAAAAUAAUUAACACAAGAAA